UUUCUCUGCCUCACAGUACAAUGAAAUUCGUGGCAAAGGAGCUUUUAAAGACACUGUGUGAACCUCAUUUCCUCAUAUUGUUUUGAACUUUCAUUGUUUACACUACAAGAAUCGUUCUUCAACAGUUGACAAUUGGUGGUAGAGAACUCAUGGCUUGAGAGAGGAGGCGUUGCUUAUAACACAGUUUUUUUAGAUAACAGUCGGUAGUGGCCACAAGUGACAUGGUUCAUUCUUAACGUUCUCUAAUGUGAGUUGUGUAUUUUAAUUUUUCUUUUUCUUCAUAUUUGUUGACACUAUUAAACCAAUUUGAUAAGAAUGGACUUAGAUUUUAAUUUUAAGAUUGUUUUGUAUUGAAUUUGUUUUGGGUCGAAAAAUGUAGGGUUCUUUGUUUGUUGGGCUUUUGUGAGUAGUUGGCAUUUGGUUAAAUUAGUGUUUAGUCGCUUUGUAUUUAGUUUCCCACCAAAAACACCAAUCUUAAAAUGUCAGGUUACGAGCUAUAAUUUAUGUCAAGAUUGAUUUGUUUAACCUUGGUUGUUUAGGUAAUGGAUUUAAUUUUUGUACUAGCUAAACAAAGUGAUAAUGGCAUUUCUACCAAUCAUUGCUUUAAUCACUCAGUCGGUCAUCUCCCUCCUAUUCAAAAGAUGCAACCCUUUUGAGUACAUGAUGAUAUUUUUGCAUAUCGAUAUUGGAGCUUACUAUUGAUAUCAAAACAAGCUGUAAUAUAUAUGUUUUUUUUAUUUGUAUUGUCAAUACUUUUGUUUUGUUUUAGAUACAAAAAUUUGAGUUCUUGAAUAUAAAAAAUUAUUAGUAUUAUUGGAGAAUGUUUUACAUAUUUUUAUAAAGAAUAUUUGUUUGACAAUUGUUAUAAGGUACAUAUAUAUUAUUCUUGGUAUGAUU